CAGAGAGGGAGACCGAAGGAGAGAGCGCAGAGAGGGAGAAUGUGUCUGCGCACAGCCAAAAUUGGUCAGAAAGGGGAGUAAAGUGGGACACGAGCUUCAAAGUAGGGAAACCAAAGAAGGGAGCAUCCACGUCCUCUCUCUGCAGCUUCUCCCCCGCGUUCUUCGGGCGAAUCCGAGGGACGGGCGCUGCGCUGGGGAAAGUUUGUCCCACCCGCGUUUCGCAGCUGGUUGCAAGGAGAGGAGGAGGAGAGGGAGGGUCAAGCUCGGAGCCUGUGACCGCACGGAUGAUCGAGCCGGCGUCGCGCUUACCUCGCAGUCCUCGUACUUGAUAUUAUCCGUCAAUUUCCAAAGCAUUUUCAUGGAUCGGCGUGAACGGAUAUGCCCCUCUCGGUCUCGCACCCAAGUGGAGCUACUCUCUGGCUCUUUACCAACAGCCUAAUCGCCUCAUUAGCAUAUCAACAAUAGUCCAAUUGCUCGCCAGUACCACAAUCUGCCGCCGGCCGCUCCGACACAGAGAUGCCUUCUGCAAAGCCCGGCACUGCUCAAGGUCCAAGCGCCACGCCUGGGGCCCAGCUUCUAGCACUUCUCCCUUAACCCUGCUACCACGAUCCGAGCUGCCCUUUUGGCCCCGUGCAAUUUUAUUAGAAAUCAUUAUCCCUUUCGCAAUUAAACAUAACCACCAAACCAAGACCGGCGAAGUCACUCCAGGAUUUUUUCCCAACAAGGGAUCGCCUCCGCUCGAGGCAGCCACCCCCUCGGGCCGCAGCGCCUUGGGAGUUUUAUUGGCUUUGAGCUUUCCCCCAGGUUGGAGAUUCUGCCAAGCGGCUCCGGUGGCUCUGCUGGGGUUUGCAAUCCCUUAAUUGCAGCGUGUAAAAUAAAAGUUGUACCCUGAAGAGGUUACUUGACAGCUCCAGGGGUUAAACAAUUUUUCUCCUGUUUGUGUGAAGCUAGGGCCAACUGACAGUUCAAAUUGGUGUUCAGGCUAAGGUUUCCUGGGUGCAACGUGGACACGAAUACAGAACUCCUAUGGAACUGCACACCCGCUUCUGAAGUUGAGCCUAAAAACAGACGUGUGUGUGCCUGCAAGUCUAGAUACCGUCUCGUGCGUGCAUCAAAAUAAAUCACCGGGAACCGACUUUUAGCUGUGUUAAUCUGCUCUAGUUUUCCCAAGAUUCCCCUUUUUAAUUAAAGCAGGGAGAGUUCCUUCAUGAUUUGGUGAUGCUACUAACGCGGGCGUGCUCGCGAGGCAGAGCCCGGCUGCCGCGGAACCUGGAGGCCUGGGAGCCACCUACUCGUCCAGACUGGUCAGUCCGGGCUUUUGGACUCCUCACCGGGGCCUGCUGGGUCCUCUGGGGCUUUUAUCCCUUUCGGUUUUGGGAUUUUUUUUUAAGUAAGAAAAAAAAAAAAGAAAAGGACCUAAUGUGACACUAGGAAAUACAGAGUAAUUAAUUUUCCUGGCUGAGCUUCCUCGUUUGUCCUCCAAAAGAAAGUUACCUCUGUCUUUUCUCUCUGCUAUAUGUACAAACUCCUUAACUACACUAGGUCCCGCCUCAGAGUUGCUCUAGUAAGGACCUUUGAUUCAUCUGGGCUUGUUUCUCGAAAAUCUCCAGGCCUCCCAUAUUUCCACCGGG
rnacentral:lncRNA from 1 species